rnacentral:rRNA from 1 species
GUCGAACGGACGAUGAAAAGCUUGCUUUUCAAAGUUAGUGGCGGACGGGUGAGUAACGCGUGGGUAACCUGCCUCAUACAGGGGAAUAGCAGCUGGAAACGGCUGAUAAAACCGCAUAAGCGCACAGUGCUGCAUGGCACAGUGUGAAAAACUCCGGUGGUAUGAGAUGGACCCGCGUCUGAUUAGCUUGUUGGCGGGGUAACGGCCCACCAAGGCGACGAUCAGUAGCCGGCCUGAGAGGGUGAUCGGCCACAUUGGGACUGAGACACGGCCCAAACUCCUACGGGAGGCAGCAGUGGGGAAUAUUGCACAAUGGGGGAAACCCUGAUGCAGCGACGCCGCGUGAAGGAAGAAGUAUCUCGGUAUGUAAACUUCUAUCAGCAGGGAAGAUAAUGACGGUACCUGACUAAGAAGCCCCGGCUAACUACGUGCCAGCAGCCGCGGUAAUACGUAGGGGGCAAGCGUUAUCCGGAUUUACUGGGUGUAAAGGGAGCGUAGGCGGCGGAGCAAGUCAGAAGUGAAAGCCCGGGGCUCAACCCCGGGACGGCUUUUGAAACUGCCCUGCUUGAUUUCAGGAGAGGUAAGCGGAAUCCCUAGUGUAGCGGUGAAAUGCGUAGAUAUUAGGAGGAACACCAGUGGCGAAGGCGGCUUACUGGACUGACAAUGAC